rnacentral:rRNA from 1 species
UGGGGAAUCUUGCGCAAUGCGCGAAAGCGUGACGCAGCAACACCGCGUGAGGGAAGACGGCCUUCGGGUUGUAAACCUCUUUCAGGAGGGACGAAGGUCGGCCGGUUAACAGCCGUGCCGGCUGACGGUACCUCCACAAGAAGCUCCGGCUAACUACGUGCCAGCAGCCGCGGUAAUACGUAGGGAGCGAGCGUUGUCCGGAAUCAUUGGGCGUAAAGCGCGCGUAGGCGGCCCGAUAAGUCCGCUGUGAAAGUCAACGGCUCAACUGUUGAAAGCCGGUGGAUACUGUCGGGCUAGAGUACGGAAGAGGCAAGUGGAAUUCCUGGUGUAGCGGUGGAAUGCGCAGAUAUCAGGAGGAACACCCAUAGCGAAGGCAGCUUGCUGGGACGUUACUGACGCUAAGGCGCGAAAGCGUGGGGAGCGAACAGG